AUGAAGAAGACAAACGGACGUAGUCGAACGGAUCCUCACACACACAACGUUAUCGGAACCAACCCGAAGAAGCAGCACCGGAAAGAAGCAAACAACAUAGUAAAACAUCCACCACAUAAACAUGGCAUGAUGCAUGUCCGGUUUAAUGAAGCAUGGCAUGGCAAUAUGCACAAACAAUACUACAAAUUAAGUGGAGCUCAAUAUGCAACUCCGUUGCAUGUUGACGAAACACCACGUGACUUAUUUGGUUCGAACUUGUUUAUGUACCCAACAAUAUUAAAUGUUGUUAGUAUGGCAAGAGGGUGA
rnacentral:rRNA from 1 species